GCGCUCGUAGCUCAGCUGGAUAGAGCGGUGGUUUCGGAACCAGGCGGUCAGAGGUUCGAAUCCUCUCGGACGCGCCA
rnacentral:tRNA from 1 species